CCUACGGGGGGCUGCAGUGGGGAAUAUUGGGCAAUGGGCGCAAGCCUGACCCAGCAACGCCGCGUGAAGGAAGAAGGCUUUCGGGUUGUAAACUUCUUUUCUCAGGGACGAAGCAAGUGACGGUACCUGAGGAAUAAGCCACGGCUAACUACGUGCCAGCAGCCGCGGUAAUACGUAGGUGGCAAGCGUUAUCCGGAUUUACUGGGUGUAAAGGGCGUGUAGGCGGGAAAGCAAGUCAGAUGUGAAAACCAUGGGCUCAACCUGUGGCCUGCAUUUGAAACUGUUUUUCUUGAGUACUGGGGAGGCAGACGGAAUGCCUAGUGUAGCGGUGAAAUGCGUAGAUAUUAGGAGGAACACCAGUGGCGAAGGCGGUCUGCUGGACAGCAACUGACGCUGAGGCGCGAAAGCGUGGGGAGCAAACAGGAUUAGAUACCCGUGUAGUC
rnacentral:rRNA from 1 species